GGCAGGGAGAAGCUGUUUAUUUCCGUGCCUGCGGUUGGACCUUGUUAAAGAUUAGAGCUGUGAUGCUAGCACCUGGGAGACCACAUCCUGUGCAUUUUUCAGUUUUGCUCAGUUCCUGACUCUGGUAUAGCAGAAGCAUUUUCACAUCUACGACACCCGCUAUGUCUUGGUAAACCCCGGAAGGGAAGGGAGGACAAGGUUAAAAUACGGUUCCGAGGACCUGGUCUCUCCACAGCGCAGGCUGGAGGUGGGAGCCCGUGGAAAGCCAGGUUCAUCCACCAUCGGAACCCAGGCCAGGCCGCCAAGGCUAAUAUUCAGGACAAAGCCAGGGGCAGGGUGGGAAUCCUGUGGAGAUGACCAUCGUCUUGAGGUCUUCCUUCCAGGGCUCCAUCCGGGCCCGAAGAUGGCCAGAGACGUGGAUGUGCUGGGGUCGUGUAAAGCAUGAACAUUAGAGGGAUCUGAAUGAAGGGCAUAUAGGAACUCUCUGUAUCUCUGCAACUCUUCUGCAAAUUUGAAUUUAUUCCCAGCCCCCAUAACCACCAUUCCCUGCUGUGAUGUUGUGACUCUGGUGACUUUGCAGACCCCCUGUGACAUCAUGCAGUACUUGGUCUCCGCAUCUGCAUCGCUUGGCGUGAUGUCCUCAGGGUUUGUCUGUGUUGUCGCCCAUGGCAGAAUUUUCUUCCUUGUUUAAGGCUGCAUAGUAUUCCCCUGUGUGUGUACCACAUUUUCCAUAUCCAUUCAUCUGUCAUGGACAUUUAGAUGAUUUUCACGUCUUAGCUAUAGUGCAUAGUGCUGCAGUGGUCAGGGGAGUUCAGAUGGCUCUUUACAUACUGAUUUUUUUUUUUUUUUUUUUUUUGGAGACAGAGUCUUGCUCUUCUUGCCCAGGCUGG